AUAUUUCAAUUGAACGCAUCAUAUAAUUGAAUGAUCAUGAGAGAAGUUUGCCCUUUCAUGCGAACCUAAAGUUCUUCCACUCUAGAUUUAUAUUUAUUGCCGUAUAAGUAAUCCUCAACAUCCAUCUAUAUUUCAUUGUUAGAAUUAGAAUUGGUUUGACCUUCCAAAGUAAGUAAACCACGCAUCUUACGAGAAAAUUGAUAAGAACUACCAAUAAUUGGUCUUGUAUGAUUAAUUCCCAAUAGAAGAUAGCAAUCUACCUUUCUCGAUGGUUACCGACGCUGCUUCACUUUCUAUGAGAACCUGUGAAGUUGAAACCACAGAUGAUGUCAGGGGUUCUCCACCUUCUGAUAGCACAAAACCAAGUGUUUCUGUGCUGGAAAGUUGUGAGAAUUCUAUUGAUGGCAAGGUAGAUCCUUCUACAGAUGGGUUGCUAGAUAGUUCAAGUGCAGCUGAUGAAAGUUUAAUUUCAACAUCAUCUGCAUCUUGCACAGAAGGAGUUAUGUUACUGUGGGAGCAAGCUGUUGAGAAAGGUAGUGCACUUGUUUUAGAUGAAAGAUCUUUGGAUGCUGACAAUGUUUAUCAAACCGCAGUGGCUUUUGCCAAAUCAGCUCCCCCAGGGCCUGUUUUUAGCCGAUCUAGAAAGGUUAGGGUUCAAAAUAAUGACGAGCAAGAAGAUUCAACUUUUGAGAAAAAAGAAGUUACCACUGUUGUAAUUGAAGGUAAAAAUGGAGAACACUCGAAAGAGUUCCGAAAUUCGAAGAAAAGACUUUGAUGAGCGACAGAGGAAUGUAGUGCCACAGGGAACAACAAGAGUAGAUGAAUUUGUGAGAAUUCUGACAUGAUACCACCAAAAUGUCCUAGCUGCAAAUGGGGCUAAUUAGUUUAGGAAGUCCAGAGAUAUGGAUGGAAAAUAUCCUUGUGUUUGGCUACGGUUCCAGCAACUCUAAUGUUUCUAGUUCUUGGAGGUACAUUUUGUAAGAAAUUAUAUUAUGUCUCUAGUGUUGUGUGUUUCAUUUUAUAGGAUUAAUAAAUAUAUCAAUUAAUUAAAUGAAGGAAAGCUUGUUAGUAGAUAUUUGAAAGUAACUAACUUGAUGGAAGUUAGUUUUAUGAGAAACAAAACCAGAAUUCCUCUUCCUGCCAAUGAAGUUCCUCUUCUUCUUUCACAAGUCUUGACGAAGAAAUAAAGAAAGGGCAAAGGAAUAGACAAGUGAAUUCUCAAUAUGAACUCCAAUCAAUGGAUCAGGAGACACCUAACAGCCUUGCGGAACCAGGCAAACUUGAAGAGGCAAGAUGGGUGCUAGGGAGAGUUAGAGCCAAGAGGCAUCGAGAUUAUGGAAGCCAAAUUUCAUGCUAGGCUCUUCUGUUUGUUAGUUCUUAUUUGGAAGCCUUUAGCAAUAUUUGAGUUGCAGAGAGACCUAAUACUAUUUUUCAUUGGUUGCCUUGUGAUUUGAGAGGCCUGAAAUUUCAUAAACAAUAUCAUAUUAAUAAUGCACAUUUUUUUUAUAUGCUACA